rnacentral:lncRNA from 1 species
CGAACAACGUCCUGAACUCACCACAAGGUUGAUUAGGCACAACACACAACGAGGUAUAUGAUUUAAGAACUAGCCCCAACGUGGUGGAAUACAUAGGAAAAUAGGACUAUCACCACCUGCCACUACCACAGCUAUCUAGAGGACUAGCCACAAACUGAGAUAAUGUAUAGUCUAACCACCACACCUACACUAUAUGAUACUACUCUAAUCCCGCGCAACAACUAGAGCACUAACUAGCGGCG